rnacentral:rRNA from 1 species
UACGUAGGAGACAAACGUUAUCCGGAGUUACUGGGCGUAAAGGGCGUGUAGGUGGUUUCGUAAGUCUGGCGUGAAAUUUUUCGGCUUAACCGGGAAAGGUCGUCGGAUACUGCGGGACUGGAGGACGGUAGAGGCGUGUGGAAUUCCGGGUGUAGUGGUGAAAUGCGUAGAGAUCCGGAGGAACACCAGUGGCGAAGGCGACACGCUGGGCCGUACCUGACACUGAUGCGCGACAGCAUGGGGAGCAAACAGG